rnacentral:lncRNA from 1 species
GUAUAUAUGUUGCAUACAUGUAGUGUGUAUGUGUGUGUGUAUAUAUAUACACACACACACACACACACACAUACAUACAUAAUAUAUAUCAAAAAUGUGGCAGUUCACUGACAUGAUCUCUGUUGUGGUGGAUUGAUGUAGGAAUUUUCAGGCUAGAGAAAUUUACAGCCCUGUAAUUUUGAUUCUUAAAGUUAUGCAUAGUAAAUUCUUUUUUGGGGGCAGUCAAAUUAAUGAGAAAAAUUUUGUAUCCCUUGUUUUAUAAGCAAACAUACCAUCUUUGAGAGAGUUGUUCCUUUAGAUACUGCCUCCCCACCCCAUUUGCAUUUUUAAAAAGUGUUUUUAAAAUUUACUGGAGAAAUCCACUUUCCUAUAGGACAAAAAGUAUUUUGCACAAAAGUUUUAAUUUACUGCUUUUUCUAGAGAAAAUAUUAUCACAUUUAUUAUUACUGUUUUAAGUUUGAAGAAAUAAAAUAGUCCUAAAUUGAGAGACUUUUGUUUGUUGUCUUUUCAUUACCCUUUAAUCAGUUGUAAAAUCCUGUUUCUUGAGAUAAGGUCUCACUGUAUAGCCCAGGUGGGCCUCAAACAUGCUUUGUAGUUUAGCUUGUUCUUGUAUAGGCCUCCUGAUGGUACCUCAGCCACUGUACUGGGGUAGCUGUGAAAUAUUGGUUAAGCUAGUUAACUAAUUUCAUGACUCUAUGUUAUGAUGAUGGAUUUAAUAUCUCCAAAGUUGCUCGUGGAGGAGAUGGUUCACUUGCAGAGGGCCUAGGUUUGGUUUCUAGCAACCAUGUGACACCUCACUACUAUCUGGAACUCCAGUUUCAGGGUAUCGAAUGCUGUCUUCUGGUUCUGGCCUCCAUGGGCAUUAGGCAUGCACAUGGAACACAUAUAGACACACAAGCCAAACUAUCACACCCUCAAAAAAAUAACAAGACUUCACAGUUUCAUAUACUGGGCUUGAAGUGUUGCUCAGUAGUAGAACCCCUAUGUGGUGUGCUUGAGAUUGUCAGCUCAACCCACAGAACUACCAAAAACAAAAUGCUUUAAGUUGUGACUUACAAAGUACUCAAACUAAUGAACAAACACAAAUAUCUAUUAAUGCUUCUAAAAGUUGCCAUUAUCAAGAGAAAACUUCCUUAAAUGGUAACCAAAGUCUGCUGCAUUUCUCUGAUCCCAUCAAAGGGGAGAGGGAGAAAAGGGUUUUUAGAACUUUUGCUAACACCCCUCCCUUCCCAAGCAGAACAUGUUAAAAGAAAUGGUGCCACCUAGUGGCUGUUCCAAUCUUGCCAUUUGUCCAGGUACUUGGAGAAAUUAUUCAGCAUUAUGGCUCAAUUGUUCUUAAAUCUUGAAUUGAUGUGAUUUUAGAGAUGGAAACUUUUGUUUUUUAUGCUUUAAAAUAUCAAAUGUGGUUUUGAGAAAAGGGGACCCUGACGUGCAGAAUGGUCCUAAUGUAUAGCAGGGAACUUUGGGGUUCCAGGUAAAGCUGAAGAUCUUUUGGGAGGCUGGAGACCUUAAGACAAGAAAAUACUACAGAGUGAUACACAUAACAGGAAACAGUACCCUUCAACAGUAUUUACAGUGCCAGUCUUACUCAGAUCGAUGACUUAAUCGGAAAAUCAGAAUGAAAUUGCAGUUCUUUCUAUCCUCAUGUAUUCUGUUUUGAUUAUGUAAAGUAAGAAAGGCAACUAAAUUUUCUAGCAGUGUCCUGUGUACCCUCCUGGAACCUACCACCCACAUUUCCCCUACUACAAAUCUAAUUCUUUUUCAUGUUAUCUAAAGCAUAUGUGUUUGUUGCACAUCUCCACUAAAGUGCUGUGCAUAUCUUAAAUUAAGCCAUGUUACUUGCCUUGUUAAUUAUGCCAGAAAAAAAUUACUUGAAGUGAAAGUCCUCUGAGAUGGUUACAAGUUAAAAUACAUGGUUUUUUGUUUGUUCACAUCACCAGUACCCAAAAAAUUACUUGAAGUGAAAGUCCUCUGAGAUGGUUACAAGUUAAAAUACAUGGCUUUUUGUUUGUUCACACCACCAGUACCCAAUAGAGUUAGGAAGUAGAUCUGGAUUUAUUGACAGAAACACUGUUUUCUGUAGUGCUUUCUAGCUAAGUCCUUGGAUCAUACCUUGAUCUUGUGAAGUAUCUUUUUCAGGUAGCGAGCACUAGGGGCUUCACCAGGUUUCUUUAAAUGGUACCAUUAGGUAAACAACAUUUUUUUUGUAGUUGUUUUAUAGCAAAGGGUUUCCUGAACUUACUUAGUGUUUUGUCUGCAUGUAUGUAUAUGCACCAUGUGUAUGUGCAGUACCCAAGGUGGUUAGAAGAGAGUGUUGAAUACCCUGGAAUUGGAGUUAUAGAUGGUUUUGAGCUGCCAUGUGGGUGCUGGAAGUUGGACCUGGGUUCUCUGAAGAGCUGCCAGUGCUCUUAACUCCUGAGACAUCUUCAGCCCCAGAUUUGUUGAAUUUAACUGGCUUUGUCCUCCCACCUCUCCAGUCAGAAUAUAUGUUUUAACUAUAGUUUUCUAGAAGUAGAUUAACAAAUUAUAUUUUUUCACUUUUUUCCAUAAUCACAUUUGAUUCUAUUGUAUUUAGGUAGUGUUUAAUACUAAACUAGGACACC